CGGCACGCCGGGCUUGGAGCCCAGUUGACCCGUAGUAACCUGCUGGUGCGUUUUGUACCUUCUAAAUAGAGCGCAUCCUGGCUUAUGCACGAUCAUGCGGUCUCUCUGGAAUCCUGGCAGGCAGAUUCCUUACCACUGAGCCAGCCAGAAAGUCCAGAUAUCACAGGCAGCUAAAGCCUGAGAGCCACAACUACUGAGUCCAUGCUCCAGGGCCCAAGAGCCGAAACUACUGAAACUCCUGAAGCCGAACUAGAGCCUGUGCUCUGCAACGAGAGAGGCCACUGCAAUGAGAAGCCUGUGCAUAGCAACCGAGACCCAGCACAGCCAAAAGUAAAUAAAUAUGUAAAUACUAAUGCUUUCUUUUGGCACCUCUGUGAAUAUCUUGUGUCUGAGGGGUGCACACCCCUUUCAGAGACCAGGAUAUAUCAAGAAACAGAAUUGCUGGGUUGAAGGGCAUGAGCCUUGCUGGCUACCACCAUAUUGCUCUCCCAAGUGCUUGUCCCAGUUUACAUUCCCUUGCCUUCAUGUUUUUACUAAAACUUGCUUUUAAUAUAGUUUAAAUUUUGCCAGUGAAAAGGGUGUGAAAGAGCUUCUAAUUGUUUAAUUUGCAUUACUAGCUUAGGCUUAAUUUGCAUUUAAUUACAAUUGAGUCUGAGCACUUUUUAUAUGUUUAUCAGCCAUUAAAAUUUCCUCUUUUUUUUUUUUGUUUCUUUUGUUUAUCUGUUUGUUUGUUGGCUGCACCAGGUAGAAUCCGAGAUCUUAAUGACCAGGGAUCAAACCUGUGUCCCGUGCGUUGGGAGCUUGGAGUCUUAACCACCGGACUGCCAGGGAGGUCCAAAAUUACCUCGUCUUUAAAUUGCCUGUUUAUAUCCCUUGUGGGUUUUUCUAUUAGAUUAUUUGUCUUUGUCAUGCUCAUUUGUAGGAAUCUACUUUUUCUUUCCUUUUUUCUUAAUUUUUUCAUUGAUCUUAUUAAUUUUUCUUAAUUUCAUUAAUUCCUAUCUUUUAUUAUUUCUGACUAUCCAUAAUCUUUGGGCUUACUUUUCAUUUUCUGACCUCUCAAGGUGAACACUUAGCUAAUUCAUUUUCACUCUGAUUUUCUAAUAUAGCAUCCACAUUUAAGGUCAUACUUUAUCUCUACUUUCUUUAGCUGAAUUUUACAGCUUUUAAAACGGAAUUUAACAGCUUUUGAUCUAUAGUUUUUCAUUGGUGAGGUUCUAAAUUUACUGCAAUUUCCAUUGUUUUAUCUUUCUAUCAUGACUUAUUUAGAAAUGUGGUUUUUAAAAUUCCAGAGUAAUGUGUUUUGUUUUACUCUUUAAAAAAACUUAACUUUUUGUUAUUGAUUUCUAACUUCGUUUUGUGGUCAUAGGAUGUGUUCUGUAUGACACUGGUAUUUUGGCAUUGGUUGAUACUGUAGUGGCAUAGUUCAAGUCAAUUUUUUUAACGUUCCAUGUACUUGAGAAUAUUUUCUAAUAUUUAUAUAUUAAAAUUUGUUAGUUAUAUCAUUGAAUCUUUUAUUUAUUUUUUAAUUUAUUAUUUUUUUUUUGUCCUCCUGGAUGGUGCAUGGGAUCUUAGUUCCUCAACCAGGGAUCAAACCCUGCAUUGGAAGAUGAAGUGUUUACCACUGGACCACCAGGGAAUUCUCCUCAUUGAAUCUUUUAUAUGUUACUAGUCUUAUUUUAUUUUUGUUUCAUCUAUCAUCUAUUUUUAGGAGAAAAGUAUCUUAAAAUUUCCUUGUAUAUUGUAGAUUUUAUAGUUUUCCCUUCCCUUUCUGGCAUAUUUUGAUGUUGUUAGAGUCAUAUAAGGAUUAGGUUAUUUAGUCCCUGGUAAACUGUUUAUCAUCAAAAAUGACAUCUGUAUUCCUAAUAAUCCUUUAUCUCUCAAAAUCUAUUCUGUCAGAUUUUAAUAUCACUGUAUCAGAUUUCCAUUUACCCUACAUUGAGAAGCAGCAGAAAACAACAUGAAGAACAUGGAUUCUGAAGUCAGGUUGCUAGGGUUCAAAUUCCAGCACUAACACCUUUUAGGUAUGUGACCUCAAGCCAAUUUUUAACCUCAAUAUGAAAUGGGUUUAGUUACUACCUACCUCAGAGGAUUGUUAUGAAGAUUAAUUACUAUUUUUAAAGCACUUUGAAUGUUAUAGUAUGCAUUCCAUAUGUAUUUGUAGCAUUAAAUAAAUAGAUAUAUGUGCA